GGGGCCAUCAGCCUCGCUAUCACCUCCACCCCCAAGUGCUUGGCUCCCCAAGGGACAGCUCUAAAAUCCCCAGAAUCUCAGGCUGGUGGGUCCAGCUGAGCAUCCUAGUUUUCACUUUCUCCUCCCAAAAAGGAAAGAACCUUGGUCACUAAAUUCUACGCCUUCUGGAAAUCACUCUGCUAAUGACUUCCUGAAUGAUCGACUGAGACCAACAGCUGGCCCAGCCCUGCAUGGAGGAGUAAGAAACCCUCAUCUGUCAGAGUUAAGGGGCCUGAAUGGGUACAGGUCACAUUCUUGGAGCUCAAGGUGACAGGCCAGAGCCCAGGUCCCCAGGACAGUGCAGCACCUUGUCCAGGCGGGCCUCCCGUUUCUGGCUCCGGGCUGAGCUUCCUGGAGAAGAGGAAGGUUCAUCUGAAUUGCAGAAGCUGGAAGCAGAGAGCCCAGUUAGGAGCUACUACAACUAUCCAGGCAAGAAAGACAGUGGCUUGGAUGGGGAUGUGGUAUUGAAAGUGGAGACUAGCAGAGGUACUUGGAAAUGUACAUCUUAUAGCUACCAAGACUUGCUGCUGGUGUGAAUGUUCAGGUAAAAGAGAGAGAAAUCAAGAAUGGCUCUAGGCUGGGUGCAGUGACUCAUGCCUGUAAUCUCAGCACUUUGAGAACCGAGGCGGAUGGAUCACUUGAGCUCAAGAGUUCGAGACCAACCAGUCUGGGCAACACAGCAAGACUCUGUCUCUCCACCCCUCAAAAAAAAGAAAAAAGGAAAGGCAUGACUCUGAGGGUAAAUUCUAGGAAGGCAUGUGGGGUGGGAAAUGGGGCCAGCGGUGUGAUUAAAGAAUGUACAUGGUAGUAGAGGGAUGCAGAUCUAGAUAAUAUUGAAAGGCCAGGACUUGGACUUCUGGGAAUGGGAAACAUGAUAGAAUUAUCUGUAAUUUUCCAGAAUCAAUGACUAGUUGUUUUUUUAAAAAAAGAA
rnacentral:lncRNA from 10 species